CCUACGGGCGGCAGCAGUGAGGAAUAUUGCACAAUGGAGGGAACCCUGAUGCAGCAACGCCGCGUGGAUGAAGAAGUACUUCGGGAUGUAAAGCCCUUUCAACAGGGAAGAAAAUGACGGUACCUGACCGAGAAGCCCCGGCUAACUACAUGCCAGCAGCCGCGGUAAUACGUAGGGGGCAAGCGUUAUCCGGAGUUACUGGGUGUAAAGGGAGCGUAGACGGCAAGUCAAGUCUGGAGUGAAAGCCCGUGGCUCAACCGUGGGACUGCUUUGGAAACUGUGUUGCUGGAGUGCAGGAGGGGUAAGCGGAAUUCGUAGUGUAGCGGUGAAAUGCGUAGAUAUUAGGAGGAACACCGGUGGCGAAGGCGGCUUACUGGACUGUAACUGACGUUGAGGCUCGAAGGCGUGGGGAGCAAACAGGAUUAGAUACCCCAGUAGUC
rnacentral:rRNA from 1 species